GACGAACGCUGGCGGCAUGCCUAAUACAUGCAAGUCGAACGCUGAAGCACUCUGCUUGCAGAGUGCGGAUGAGUGGCGAACGGGUGAGUAACACGUGGGAAAUCUGCCUAGGAGUGGGGGAUAACAUUCGGAAACGGAUGCUAAUACCGCAUAUCUUCUGGAACCGCAUGGUUCUUGAACGAAAGACGGCUUCGGCUGUCGCUCUUAGAUGAUCCCGCGGCGUAUUAGUUAGUUGGUGGGGUAAAGGCCUACCAAGACAAUGAUACGUAGCCGACCUGAGAGGGUGAUCGGCCACACUGGGACUGAGACACGGCCCAGACUCCUACGGGAGGCAGCAGUAGGGAAUCUUCCACAAUGGACGAAAGUCUGAUGGAGCAAUGCCGCGUGAAUGAAGAAGGUCUUCGGAUCGUAAAGUUCUGUUAUUAGAGAAGAACAAAUCGAAGGAGUAACUGUCUCGAUUUUGACGGUACCUAACCAGAAAGUCACGGCUAACUACG
rnacentral:rRNA from 1 species